rnacentral:rRNA from 1 species
AUUGAACGCUGGCGGCAGGCCUAACACAUGCAAGUCGAGCGAGCGGCGGACGGGUGAGUACUGUAUGUCGACUGCCCGAUAGAGGGGGCUACCUACUGGAACCGGUUGCUAAUCCCUCAUACUGUCGUAUCACCCAUAUGGGAUUGGCUAGUAGGUAGGGUACUGGCUUACCUAGGCGACGCUCCCUAGCUGGUCUGAGAGGAUGAUCAGCCAAACUGGGACUGAGACACGGCCCAGACUCCUACGGAGGCAGCAGUGGGGAAUAUUGCACAAUGGGCGAAAGCCUGAUGCAGCCAUGCCGCGUGUAUGAAGAAGGCCUUAGGGUUGUAAAGUACUUUCAGUGGGGAGGCGUUACCGACAGAAGAAGCACCGGCUAACUCCGUGCCAGCAGCCGCGGUAAUGC